UGGGGAAUAUUGCACAAUGGGCGAAAGCCUGAUGCAGCAACGCCGCGUGAGCGAUGAAGGCUUUCGAGUCGUAAAGCUCUGUCCUAAGGGAAGAUAAUGACGGUACCUUAGGAGGAAGCCCCGGCUAACUACGUGCCAGCAGCCUCGGUAAUACGUAGGGGGCGAGCGUUAUCCGGAAUCAUUGGGCGUAAAGGGUGCGUAGGCGGCCCUAUAGGUCAGAGGUCAAAGGCUACGGCUCAACCGUAGUAAGCCUUUGAAACUGUAGGGCUUGAGUGCAGGAGAGGAGAGUGGAAUUCCUAGUGUAGCGGUGAAAUGCGUAGAUAUUAGGAGGAACACCAGUGGCGAAGGCGACUCUCUGGACUGCAACUGACGCUGAGGCACGAAAGCGUGGGGAGCGAACAG
rnacentral:rRNA from 1 species